GAGAGCAGAACACAACACAAUCUUCAUCAUCACACAAGACAAAACAACAACAAUGAACAACAUCAUCAUCCUCAUCUGGACACUCACACUGUUUGCUCGAGAGUGUAGAGGACAGAUCACUGUAACUCAGAGUCCAUCAAUAACAGCAGCUCAAGGACAAGAAGCCAGAAUAAACUGUAAAACCAGUAGUAAUGUCUACAGUGAUCGUUAUGGGCCACGGUUGCACUGGUACUUACAGAAACCUGGAGAAGCUCCUAAACUCCUCAUAUAUCUUGCAUCAACCCGUUACACAGGAACUUCAUCUAGAUUCAGUGGCAGUGGAUCUGGAAGUGAUUUCACUCUCACCAUCAGUGGAGUCCAGACUGAAGAUACAGGAGAUUAUUACUGUCAGAGUGAACACCACAUCAGUAGUAGCUGGGUGUGGACUUUCGGUGGAGGAACUAAACUGCUGCUCGCUGGUCCCACACUGAAGCCCUCAGUGUCUCUGCUGCCGCCCUCUUCUCUGCAGAUCUCUGGAGGUUCAGCCGCACUGCUCUGCCUGCUCAGCUCUUACUCUCCACAGGGGGCGCAGGUGAGCUGGACACUGGACGGCUCAGAGGUCACCGAGGGGGUUGUGACCAGCGCAGAGAGCGAGCAGAACGGCCGCUACAGCCGCAGUAGCGUCCUGACCCUCAGCAAAGCACGCUGGGAAGCGGGAGAGGAGUAUGUCUGCAAAGUAACACAUGCUGGAGCUCCUCAUGAGGUCUCGUUCCACAAGAGUCUCUGUUAGUCGCCGCAGUGCUGAUGUUUCUCCAGCGAGCGCUGCUCUCUCCUGAAGAUGAGCCGUAUCUGAGUGUCCUGUGUCAGGCAGGAUUCACAUGAGUCUAGUGCUGCAGCUGUAGUCAUUUACAACUCAAUACUGAAAGAGAGCUCUAGUGUCGAAGCACUGGCUGAUCUUUCAAUCUGCUGUGUUUGUUGCAACAUUCAAUAAAGCUUCUCAACAAACUCCA